GAUGAACGCUGGCGGCGUGCCUAAUACAUGCAAGUCGAACGCAUAGCGAAAGGUGCUUGCCCCUUUCAAGUGAGUGGCGAACGGGUGAGUAACACGUGGACAACCUGCCUCAAGGCUGGGGAUGACAUUUGGAAACAGAUGCUAAUACCGAAUAAAACUUAGUGUCGCAUGACACAAAGUUAAAAGGCGCUUCGGCGUCACCUAGAGAUGGAUCCGCGGUGCAUUAGUUAGUUGGUGGGGUAAAGGCCUACCAAGACAAUGAUGCAUAGCCGAGUUGAGAGACUGAUCGGCCACAUUGGGACUGAGACACGGCCCAAACUCCUACGGGAGGCUGCAGUAGGGAAUCUUCCACAAUGGGCGAAAGCCUGAUGGAGCAACGCCGCGUGUGUGAUGAAGGCUUUCGGGUCGUAAAGCACUGUUGUAUGGGAAGAACAGCUAGAAUAGGAAAUGAUUUUAGUUUGACGGUACCAGACCAGAAAGGGACGGCUAAAUACGUG
rnacentral:rRNA from 1 species